rnacentral:lncRNA from 1 species
UCUAGGGAGACCGGGAAGUGCCUAUGCUUUCUUCCUCGCCCCCAAGUACUCAGAAUGAGUCCAAGUCGGUCAGUGACUGCUGGAAAAAGGUUCAAGCACCUCUUUAGAUCCACGUGCACACAUAUAAGGAAGGGGAAAACCCCCUCCCCGUCCCCAGGAAGGGCUUGGGAAACAAAGUUCUUUCUCCAGAGCACUUGUCUUCGGAUACAGUCUAGCUUUUUUCUAGCAAUGUGGAAGCGGAGCCGAGCAUUAAAAAGACAGAACCUCUUGUCUUGAACCCCCAUUCGGCUUUGUUUUUGUUUUGCGUUCUCGCGCUUCCUAAAUUAAAGGAUUCUGGAUAGCCCAAACCAAGGAAGACAGCUGAAAGAAGUAGCUUUGGGUUUGAGAGCUCGUUCACUCGCUCCAUUUAUUGAUUAAUACCCGGAAGAAGAGCAUCCCCAAAGGGCGCUGGGAAAUAGAGUUCUUGUGUCUUUCCCCUCACCCUUCCCUCUCCCGGAAAUGCUUGGAACUAGAAUGAAAGCGCUCUCCAUCCCUCCCACCUAGAGAAUGGUGGGAAAUGGAGUCUCUGAACUUCACUUUAAUCCAAGCCUGGGUUCAUACUGUCUUGGCCUUUCUAAAGCCUUAAAAAUAAGUCCUGUUCGCUAGGUCUGUUCCUGACUGCAAUUCCCAGAGGACACAGAAUGGCGACAGAUGGUAACGCUAAAGCCUUUUCAGACUACGUUAUCCAGAAGGCAAAGUACGGACACUCUCCUGCUCCCUUUGCGAAGCCUGCAGGCGAAUCAGCACAGAUCCAAGUGGGUGUUUCUGGGACCUGUAGUUGCCCAGCCAAACGGUGGUUGCUGCCCUCUGAUGGCAGUUCCAAGUCGAAAAAGUUAAAUUUUGAGUUAAGCCCUAAGGCCUAGGGAAUCGCAGAAAGGACCUAGCAGGGCGGCGGUGCAUGGCAAGAUAGCGACGUUACUUAACCGCCAGAACCCGUGGGACAUGCGUAGUGGGCCGCGCGUGGGCAACCGCCACAAAAGGAUUGGGGUCCGUAGGAGUUUGAAGGCGAUGGAUGGAAAU